CUUUCUGUUUGAAUUUGUCUCGUGUGGUAGCUGCAAACGAAAAAAAAAAAGAAGAAAAGGUCAUGCGCUUUCACACUAGAGUUAAGUGUGGAGUUACAGGUAGUAACAAGGCUUACUGGAACGAUGUUGGAAUUCAGAUGGCGAUUUAGCAGUCAUUCGAGUACCACAGUAGUUAACUUCAUGUGUGAGUGACUGCUAGAAGACCAGUGGGAAAAGGAGAGACAAAAAGAAUAAGAGAGUCCAGAGAGGGCAAAAGCUGUGUAGUCCCUCGCCGUCGGUGCCGAAAGAAAGAACUGAACUUGGUUACUGUAUUUAUAUAAAGAAAGCUGUAGAUCAGAGAACAAUGGAGAGUAAUGGGUUUAUUUUCCUCGAACUGUAUUUAAUGCAAGAAUAUUAACUUAAACAGCAGAACUUUACUAAGUAUGACAGUAGAGUCAUAAAUUUUUUAGUGCAAAAGCCGAGAACAAAAGGAAAGGAAGUUAUGUAAAAAAUGUAGAAUCGGUUUCGAAUCCUGGCUUAAAAUCUAAGAAGCUAUUCGUUACAUAUGUUAAAAACUUUGAUUUUGUUACCUAUUUGUUCAUAAAUUAAAGCUUAU